rnacentral:tRNA from 1 species
GAGAGGUGGCCGAGUGGUCGAAGGCGCACGAUUGGAAAUCGUGUAUACCCGAAAGGUAUCGUGGGUUCGAAUCCCACCCUCUCC